AUGAACGCUGGCGGCGUGCCUAAUACAUGCAAGUCGAGCGAGAAGACGUAGCAAUACGUUUGUAAAGCGGCGAACGGGUGAGGAAUACAUGGGUAACCUACCCUCGAGUGGGGAAUAACUAGCCGAAAGGUUAGCUAAUACCGCGUACGCUUCUUGGACUUCGGUUCAGGGAGGAAAGCGAUGCCGAGGGUAUCGCGCUCUUGGAUGGGCUCAUGUCCUAUCAGCUUGUUGGUGAGGUAACGGCUCACCAAGGCUUCGACGGGUAGCUGGUCUGAGAGGACGAUCAGCCACACUGGCACUGCGACACGGGCCAGACUCCUACGGGAGGCAGCAGUAAGGAAUAUUGCGCAAUGGGCGAAAGCCUGACGCAGCGACGCCGCGUGGGGGAUGGAAGGUCUUCGGAUUGUAAACCCCUCUCGGGAGGGAGAUGG
rnacentral:rRNA from 1 species